rnacentral:tRNA from 1 species
UCCCUGGUGGCUCAGAUGGUUAAGCAUCUGUCUACAAUGCAGGAGACCCAGGUUCAGUCCCUGGGUUGGGAA